rnacentral:lncRNA from 1 species
AUUAAUUAUAUAUUUUAUUUAUUUUGAUUUAUUUCAUUUAUGUCCCUAUAAAGUAAGGAGACUCCAUCCACUACUCCAUCCGCAACCCCAACUCCAUCUCAAUGAUGUUUCACCUCCCACCUUACCAUUGUUUCUACCUCCACCUCUAAUUCCACCUUACCUCUAUUUUACAUCAAUCCCACCUUUGUUCCCUUACUCUAUUCUUGUCCUCACUCUCCAUCCCAUGA